rnacentral:ncRNA from 18 species
AUCCCGCCUCACGAUGAUGGUGCCCUUCCAGGGUGAAACGGGAACGCGGUGCGAUGCCGCGGCUGCCCCCGCAACUGUAAGCGACGAGCCAGCGCCAACCAGCCACCGCACCAUGACGGGAAGGCGGCGCCGGGCGAUGAUGCGCGAGCCAGGAGACCGGCCAUCUCCUUUUGUCGACGU